UGUUCUGUGGCGGAGUUGGUUAACGCUCCCUGUCUAGCGAACUUGGGGAGACGUGGGUUCAAAUCCCACCAGAACUA
rfam:Aedes albopictus isolate Foshan contig24620, whole genome shotgun sequence.